AGACCUUGACAGUUGUAACCGAUAGACUGGGCUGGGGCAACGCUGAUGAAAGGCAAAUUCCUGAGAGAAAAAUCACCCAGAUUUUUCAGUGCCUUCUCUAGCUUUCUAGAAGUUGUUAUGAGUGGACCUGACUACCUAGAGAGAGUAAUACAGAAGCUCCGUGCCGAUCACAGCUACCUCAUUACCAUGUUCCUCCAAGAUGGCCGCCCCUGAGGAGAAUCAUCAACUGGGCUUUACGGAAGAGAGAAAUCCAAACGACCAUCAGCAACAAAUGAAAGACUGAAGUUGAAAGUUUCAAGAUUGUCAAGAAUGACGAGUUGGACUUGGUCUAGUUACUUCCACAGCAGCAGGAGGAACAUGUGUGUGACUCAGGAUAACUGGGGAAGCCUUGGCUAGGCUUUCCUCAUGUCAACCUACCACUCAAAGGGAGAAAACCUCCUGAUCAGAGGAAAUCCAUAAUUUUUGAAUGCUGGCCGAGGUCUGUGACCUCUGACUGAAUGGUUUCCAAGCUCCGAAUUCCUAGGUGAUGUUUUCAUUUGUUCACACUUGCUGAAGAAGGGAAAGGCUCUCUGAUUUACGUGUAAGCAAAACAAUCUAAACAGUAGGAUAAAAUCAUGUUGGAAUGGAGUUCUGUGUGGAUGCUCCUUUGAACCAAAUCAGUUCCACAACUGACCCUGUCAGGGACAUAUAAAUUUAGCAUUUUGGUGUGGAUACAGAAGACGAGAUUAACACAGAUCAAGUAACAUGGAAAUAAAAAAGGAGACAAUGCUGGAUGAUACAGGGGCAGCCAACAAGAGGAGAAAACCCAAGCAUUGGCAAAUGCCUCAUUAUCCAAAGAACACUGAGGUGUGGAGCAAAACUGUGUUGAAUGAACUGUAGAUGGAAAUUCUCUCCUUCCCACCGAGGAGCCGCUGCAGGUUGCAGACUCCCAGAAUGCCACACUGAGAAGAGGAGGGCUAAAAUUCUAGAGCAGAAUCCCUGGGGCAGCCCCUGCUGAAGAAGGGUGCAUCUGUUGAGAAUCUCAUCACCGCCCCCACCCCGCCCAGCCUUCAAUUUAGAGGAAUUUCUAGUUCACGCAGAAUGAAGACAAGAUCACAUAAGUGAGGACGACGCCCCAUUUACAAGUGUGAUUUGGAAGACUGAAGUGGAAACCUUGGGAAGGGGCCUCAGAGUAUGUCAGCUGGGGUCAGACGGGAACAGGAGUCUGGCUCAACACACAUUUAUUGCACUCCUGUUUCAUGCCAAGAAAUGUACCAAAAUCUGGGACUGUGUAACACAGCAAAGGAAAAGACUCAUCUCCAGGAAGCCCCCUUGUCUAGGAAGAGAAAUUGAAUAUCAGCAUAAGGUGGUGAAAAGCUGUGAAGGAGAUGAGUGCCAGGAGUCCAUGGAGGAAGGAUUCUAGCCUGGACAGGUGAGGAAUGGCUUUCUGGAAGAAGCAGAUGCCCCAGCUGAACUUUAAAAUGCCCAUGUGAAAUGAACUGUCUGUAUCUUCAAUCAGCAAAUGGAGUAGGUGGCCACUGUUUAAUUCUGGAAUGGGGAAGUGUAAAGGUGUGGUGUGUGUGUUUACCCCUACUUAGGGAUUCAAAACAGACAGUAAAGAACAAAAGUCUAGCCCUUUGAGCAUUCUCCAUGGGACAUUUGAGGUCUAGCUGGCCCCAGAGAAAGAGAGACAGAAGCAAGGUCAUAUCCAUUUGAGAAAAUCAAAGUGUCUGCUCCAAUUGAGUCUGGUGUCCUUAUUCCUGGAAUAGCCAUCCCUACUGCUCUGGUGCUGAUUUACCUCCGGCAGUUCAGUGCUUCCUGGAAGGUAGGCUGGGCUUUUUAACAAAGUGACUCCUUACUUGACAUGUUUUACCCAAACACAGAGGCCACUGCACUAUGUGCAAGAAACAACAAAAAAUUAAAUGAGACUCAAUGCCUUCCUUAGGGAUCUAAAACCCCAGUAACACAGAUAAACAGGUAAACAAAUAAUGUGAUGGUGUGAUUCUAUAGCAACAGGAAUAGAGCACUGCAGGGCCACCGAAGGAAAAGGUGAUGACCUGGCUUGGAUUCAGUGAUAAAAAGGGGCUUACCUCCUUUCUCUGUUUCUGCUAAAAGCCAGUGAUUACCCCCUGCUUUUCCCAUGUUGGGCAUAGCUGUAAGUACUUUAGACAUAGCGGCACAUUUAAUCAUCAUGCAACAAUAAGAGGAAGCUGAGGCAGACAGAAGUGCCCAAAGUCACAUACUUGAAGCCAGGACUUGAACCUGGGCUAUCUGGCUCCUGAAUCCAUGGCUUUCACUAAUAAUGACUUACCCUCCAAUGAGGAACAAGCUCCAUUCUGGCCUUUCUUUAGCGAAGGCAACUGCCUGAGCUCAUGGUCUGAUCUGGCUUCUGGGAAAGAGAAAGCAGGGGAAACGUCUAGAGAUGGCAUACUGGGAGAAGAAAUUUCUUGCUGUGGAAUCCUGCCCCCAUCUCCCUCCCCACCAUACACAAUCCCACGUGCAUUUACACCUACACGCCGUGUACACACGAACAUUUUUUCUGCUACUCCCAUGGGCCCCAACUCUGCCUUUUCAUCAAAAUCACCCAGAGUUUUAAAUAAAAUGCAGAUGUUGAGGCUUGUUCCUAAAUUAUAAUCUUGGGCAUCUAAAUUUUUUGAUUAAAAAAAAUUGACAUGCAUGCUUAAAGUAAAAAUUUAGACAAUACAGCAAAGAAUGUGUUUGUACCCCUCCCACCUAGCCCUUAGUUCUUCCGAAAGGCAAAUACUUAACCGUUCCUUGUUAUCCUUCCAGAAAACAAUAUAUGCAUAUAUUCAUCUUUUUUUUCUUCUUCCUCUGUAGGUGAUUGUGGUGAAUAGUCAUGAGAAUCUGGGAACUGGCUCCUGCUCUGUCUAUCUUGGAGAUGCAUCUUUUGUGAGAAGCCAGGGCAAGAAUAGGGAGGCUUAGGCAAUGGGAAGUUUCUGAGUAGAUAAAGCAGAUGGCAGAGCAAAGGGACAGAGCCUGGCGAGAGGCUACUCCCUGUAGCAACCUGCCUAAGAGUGAGAGGAAAGCAAGGCAUGGCUAUGAGCACGUGUAGUCUCAGCUACUUGGGAAGCUGAGGCUGGGGGAUCACUUGAGCCCAGGAGUUCAAGACCAGCCUAGGCAACAUAGUGAGACCAUGUCUCUUUAAAAAAAAAAAAAAAAAGAAAAAGGGAGAGAGAGAAAAAAAGGUGACAAUUCCCCCAACACACAUAAAGUACAUAAGAGUUAACAAGGACACAGUGGCAGAAAAUAGUCAGAACUGAGCAAGCAUCAGUGAGGAAAUGUUUUCCUGAGGAGACUUGAGAAGUCUCAAAAAUGAAAAGAAAGAGUAUUUGGUGUAGAAAGAAUGGCAUGAGAUGUGAAAGCUCAUUCAUCCAUUUAUUCCAGGUAUAUCUUUUUCUUCAGUACUUUGGGAGGCAAUAGGUGUAAUAGCAAGAACAUUCAGGUUAGUGGGUUAGUGUGAGUCUGCCAUAUGUAUGAGGGUUGAAUACACAUUAGGUGUGGUGACUGUCAUAUGGGAGGCACUGCAAGGUGAAGGAGACAUGUCCUCACAUUUGGUCUUUGGGAAGCGAAGCAGGCAGAAACCCAAGUGCAAAGUGGCCAUUUGUUUUCCUAAUGCUAGAUAAGUACCUGAUGUGUUGGAAGGGUGGAGUAGAACUAGAAACUCCUGGAAGUUCUUUUAAGAACGAAUGCAGGACCUCAUCAGCCCGAGUCUUUAAAUAAGUCACACAUUUUUGGUCACCACAUUCUGGAAGGGGGACAAAAAGAUCUGUCACAGACAAAAUUUGGAGAUAUUUAAGGCUUUGUUGACUUUGGCAAAUGCUUGAUUAUAGUUCUGUGGUCUGUUUGUUUUCUAGAGUCUCCAUGAAUUGCAAGGGAAAACAAGUGGUACACUGGUAUUUCUAUUUGAUAACCUGUUCUCUUUGGAAUUCCGGUUAGAAAUCAAAGGCUUACUUGAGUUUUAAUGCUUUCGGGACUUCAAAUGCUUUUCUAUCUUCCUAAUAAUAUAUUAACAUUUUCUGAAGACAACAUAUAUGUGGAAAACAACAUUAUUUACUCAAAUAAUUUUUUUUGAAAAAUGGACCAAAAAAAAAGAAAAACCAACAAAAACCUUUUCAUGUUGUAUCUCAGACUAGCCCAUGUUGUGUUCCAAAAUUUUUUUGCUGAAUGGUUGUUUCUGUAAUUGAAAGGCCCAUGAUUUUUUUUUCACAGCACCAUUUUGCUUUUUAAAAUUUCUACUGUGUGCCAGGUAUGGUUUUGGCAUUGCAUCCUUGCAGGAGCACUGCAAGGGAAUGAUUGCGCUAUUAUCUUCAUUUUACAGACAAGGAAAGUGAAAGCAACAAAAAGUUUCAUAUCUUACCUAAGGUCUUCUUGUUCUGAUAAGUGAUCAAGCUGGUAUUUGAACUUGGGUGCCUCAACAUGAAGGUCAAGCAUCUCAUUUUACAGAUGAGCCAACUGAAGUCCCAAGAUCACUCACCUCAUUGGUUACAGAUCUUGGAGCCCAGGGACUCUCAAUUCAGGACCAGUAUGCUUUGCAUGACAUGCAGGAUGUAUCUGAGACACAAACUGUGGUUUGUUCUCUUUUCUUCCCAAUGCAUCCUGCGUACAGUAUGCUUUGCAUGACAUGCAGGAUGUAUCUGAGACACAAACUGUGGUUUGUUCUCUUUUCUUCCCAAUGCAUCCUGCGUACAGUCUCCCUACCCCCUUCCCCCAUGAAUCCAUGUUUGUUGUUUCCCAGGAGAUACAGAUGAUGGUCCCAGACUCUGUCCAUUCUGAUCUUUGGCAUGGACCCCUAAAUCCAGCCAAAUGCAGCACCCACAGUCCCUUGCCUGAACAAGAUAUGGGCUUUUCUAUCUCUGUCAUUAUUCACCAUUUACUGUGGUUGGCAUGCCUUCUUCCUGCCAGCUCCACAGUUCGAGGUGCCACUAUUCUUUCAGAUGCAUCACACAUGCUACUUCUUUUAUGAAACUUGCAGAGUCUCAGAGUUGCAUGAGAUUUGUCACUCUUGUUGAGAGAAAGAGGACAGAGUGGAGAAGAAAAGGGAAGGGAGAAAAUGGGUGGAAUUUAUGGCCCUAGAUAUGAAGCUUGGAGAUGACUGAAGUGAUAGAUGACUCCAAGGAUAAUCAAUAGCCAUGAGAGUUAUGGCUUAUUGAAAGCUUACUAUUUCUUGGGAGAGUGCAAUGUUAUCAUCUCCUUAAAUUCUACUGCAAGUCGUCAGGUUUCUGCAGCUGGGAUUUAAGCCCAAUUCUGCCUGAAGCCAAAACUUGUGUUCUCUUUCACUGUUGUCUCCUAAGACAAUUGGUUGUGAGGUAGAAAAAGAACUGGAUAAUCCUCAAAAUGGAAAAUUAAAAAGAUGAAACUAAAUUGGGGUCAUGGGUUGAGACAAUACAGUGAGAGACACUGGAAUUGGAAGAAAUGAGGCAUGAGGCCAGAGUGGAGCUCCCUUAGGACAAUGCUUUUGGCUUCUGGAGCCUUUAUUACAAUGAGGCAGCUCAGGACUUACAGUGUUCAUCUGAGUGCCGGGAAUCGUACUGUCAUGGUGCUUCUCAUGGCUUUUUCAUCUUGCUUUGUGUUAUAGGGCUUUGGGUUCACAAGCUCUCUGAAGGAGCUGACUGUGAAGGCAAGGACUGUGUCUAUGCCUUUUUUAAGGAGACGCACAGUUUGUCUUAACCAAGUGGACACAUGAGAGGCACAGAGAGGGGUGCACCUCAGUCUACCCAAGGAUAUGGAGUGGGGGCUUUAUGGAGACCUGAGGGGCCCAGGCACAGAAAAGAGACAAAGUGAGGGAACACUUGAGGCAGAUGGCAGGGCACAUGCUUAGGGAGGAAAGCUUGGAAAGGCACAGGCAGAGUGUUUAAGGAUGUGCCCAGCAUGUAAUCUAGAGAAAGCAGUCAGAGGAAAUGAGACUGGAGAGGCAGCUCGAGGCAGGGCAUAUAUGUGAAAGUCACUCGCACCCCCUCUUAUCAUAUGACUCCAGGCAGUCCUCCAACCCGUCCUCCAACCCACCCACUCGAGCUUCCUGCCUUCUGACAGGUUUCCUUAUUUCUGAGCCUCUCGUAACAGGCCCAGUAUAUCCUUCCUUGCUCAUGUAAAGAAUUCCACUCAUCUUUCAAGACAUUUUAAACAGAAGUCCUGUGAGGCCUGCCUUGAGACACUCACACUCAAUUUACUUUCUUCAGAAGUGUCUUUUCUACUUCUCUGUUCUAGCACAGCCACAAUGUUUCAUCUGUUUCCCCUACUAUUGUGAGGGCUUCUUCCACAAGAAGAAUUUUGUCUUCUCUUUGCACCCCCAUUACCAGCACAUAGUAAGCGCUCAGCACAUUUGAUAAUGGAAUGGCUCUGAUUUUACAUUCCUGUAUUUUUCCGGCAGAUAGUGAGUAGUCAGCGGGGACUCAUGCAUGACUCUGGGAAAAGUAGAGGGUAAUUUUUUUAUUUGCUUUUCGAGGGCUGAUCAGGGCUCCUUAUUUUUAUGGCGGCCAGCAUCCUGCUCACCCUGACUCCCUCCAGCUUCUGGUACCUGCAUAUCCAGGCUAUGUUAAUUUCCCUGCAUUUUUCCUCUUUGUCACUUUUUCUUUUUUUUCUUCAAAGAGCGUCGCAAUCUCUCAGGAGUUUGAUUAUAUUGCAAGAUGAAUAGGAUAUUUGAAUUAUGCUAUUUAAAUGAGUCAUCUCAACCCUAGUGUAAUUGUUCACCCCCUGUCACACUAAACGUGACCUACAUUUUUAAAAGAGUGCUUUUGGCCUGAAUAGAGGAUUGCUGAAAUUGUUGGGUUCCAGUUCUCAGCAAUUUAUCAUUUGUUAUCACCGAGUGUGUCUUUUGUUUCACAUCUGGGCAGAUGUGAACUUUUAAAACUGUCUCUCACUAGACCUAUCAAAAGAAGCUGCUUUUAUUUGCAAAAAGAAGGUGAACUGAUUUCCUGGGUGUUUAUGUGUGUGUGGUAUGUGGAGGGGCACAGAGGAGCAGCAGAGUUCAUUAAACAGAAGAUGUCUGGUCUUGGCUAAGCAGUUUAAAAACAUAUAGGAGUACUUAUGCUGAAUUGAUUCACAUUUUGGUUCUGUGGCCUGAAACUUGCUUGUUUCACCCUUCUUUUUUGAGAGUUUUGGUUGCUCUAAAACUAAGCCUGUAUUAAUGCUCUUGAGAUGGAUCAACUGGGGAGCCCUGUCAUGCCUUACCAUUUUUUCAUCUUGGAGUCAAGCUGCAGGACAGGAUUCUUAUACUGCCCAAAUGAUUGGAGGCACAUUUCCCUCCAUUGUCCAUUUCUUUGACAGGCUGUGAAACAUAACUAACUCCAAAGCCACCUAUCAAAGUUCAUGAAGGUUUUAGUUAGGAACUGGUGGUUUUGUUGUUACAGAUACUUCAGUUAUUCAGACUGUGAAUUUGAGUCACAGCCUACUAGGCAAGGCCCAUACUGAGAUACAAAGGAACUGAACUUUCUAAAUUAGAGGUGAGCAGCAUUUCUGAAGUGAUAGAUAAGGUCCUUGUACUACAUUCAUUCAGCAGAUAUUGAUUGUGUGCCCAUGAAUCAGGCAUAUGUGUAGGGCGUUAAUACAAAAGAAACUGGCCCCUACCCUCAAGAAGUUCACAGUCUAGUGAGGUUGACAGGCAUGCAGAUGAUAACAUAAUGGAGGCAUGCAAGAAAUGCUGUGGAAAAUUAAGACAGCACAGUCUGCCUGAGGAGAGUGGUCAACGUUUAAUAGAGGAGGAUGUGCUUGUGUUGGAACUUGUAGGAUGAGUAAUGGUGAAGGCAAAGGCUACUGUGGCUAGAGUCUAGUGCACGAUGAUGGAGAUGAGGUGGUCAGAACACGAGGGUUCUUGUAUGUCAAAGUAUGCUAGUUUUACACCAUACAUUUAUUAUUAUGAAUUCAGCUGCGAGGAACAGAAAUCUGCAAUUCAACUGGCUUAAACACUGAGGAAAAUUUAUUAGCACAUGUAAUAUGUUCAAAGGCAGUUCCAGGAUGACUGAAUUCAGUGGCUCGACUCUGUCAUUAAGGACUUAGGUUCUUUCCAUUUUUUUUGCUCUGCCAUCCUUGGUAUGAUGGUUUGCUCUCAGACUUGCUCUUCUCCUGAUCGCAAGGUGACCAAAGAGGAAGAGAGAUUUGUUUCUUUGUUUUUGAGGUUUGUUGGUGUUUGUUUUGUCUUGAUUUGUGUCUUUUCAAUCAGUAAGGAAAAUCUUUCCUAAGGAGCUCUCCUGCCACUCCCAUCAGACUCAUCCUCAUGCCUCAGUGGCCAAAAGUGCAUCACGUGCCCAAUCCUAAACCAUUCACUGGCAAGGGGAAUGCAACCACCAUUACUGGCUCAGACCAAUCUUGAUUCACUCCCUGGAAGAACUGUCCCACUUCUUCUGGAUUAUAUGGCCCAGGUAGAGGAUACUGGAACAAAAUUGGGUUUCCGAUAGAGAGUAGGAGAAAGGGAGACAAUUGAUUGCUGAGUUGGCAACCAACAGCAUUUGCUAUGGUAGAUGAUGAGAAACCAGUAUAGAUAAUUGAGCAGGAGUGGCAUGAUCAGUUAUGUUUAAAAAAAGUCCUAUCAGAAAUGUAGAGUUGAGCUUAAUAGACAGAAAAAUUGAGAACACAUGGAAUAGUCUUGUGAGCAGCCAAGGAACUGAUCAACACACAUGUGGAACUGGAGCUGAAACUUUUCUGGAGUCAUUCUUCUGUAGUGGUAGGAGGGGGUAUUUAGGGGUAGAAAGGCAACUAAUGCAGAACAGAGAUUUACCAAGAAGUUCCUUAUGGUACUGUGGCAAACAUGCAAGUUUUUAAAAAAAGGUUCAGAUGAUAAUGUGGUCCACUCAGAGGAGCCACUGUGGCGACAGAAUGCUAGCAUUUUGGAACUGGUAGUGAUCUUGAUGUCAUCUAGUUCAAGAUCUUUAUUUUACAAGUUACAGAACUGGGACCCAGGCAAGCAAAGUGAUUUGUUAAGUUCCUAUGUGUGGUCCAUGGCUGAACUAGAACCAUGCCCAUAGAUUUUCUGACUUUCAGCCCAGGGCACUUUGUAAUGGAUUCUCAGGGCCCUCUCAUGGGGUUUAAUGUGUCCAUUCGGGAGUGCUGUAGAAGCUCCACAGGCCCUCUUCCUAUGUUUCUCUUAUCCUUGACAACAAUUCUAUUGUUGGAAUUUUGUUGUUGUUGUUGUUGAAAUAUGGUUUUGGUUUCUAUAAAAAUGCAAAUAAUACUGAUAAGUAUAAUGUUUUAAGCUCUUAUCAUUCAUUUGGAUCUUAAAGUGAAUGUGUCCUUCUUGUUUUUUCUUUGAAGCAGAUUUUAAUGGGGGAUGGGAAUAAGAAAUUCAGGGUACUGGAAACAUAAAAGGAAAAAGGAGGCCCUAAGAAGAAUCCCGAAGAAGAGAAGCUGGAGGCUGAGGGUUCAUUACUUUGUUGAGGGUGUUUCUUAUGACACCAAAUAAGACCCAUGGUGCCUGAGAUACUAAUGAGAGGCAAUUGCCGUCCUAGUGUGAGGUGGGGCCUCUGGCCCACUUUUCUUGACAAUCUAAACAUCCAUUCACAAUGACCCAACUACACUUCUUCACUCUUUCCUUUGGUCUUCAAUGUGCCUAUGCCUAUCCUCCCCAGAACAUAUAUAGUUUUGGCUAAAAUUGCUAUGCAGAAAUUUUUGGAAAUUCACCCUGGUAGACAGAGCAUGACAGCAGGCAUUAAAAAAAAAAAAAGUUCAGUUAAAAACAAGAAAAUGGUUUGAGAAUCAAGCUCUUACUGAGAAGGAAUCUUAGCAUUUUGGAGCUGGAAGUGACCCUGAAGUCAUCUGGUUCAAGACCUUUAUUUUACAAAUGAGAAAACUGGGACCCAGACAAGCAAAGUGAGUUGUUAAGUUCCUCCUGUGUGUGGUCCAUGGCUGAACUAGAACCAUACCCAUAGAUUUUCUUCCCUUCAGCCCAGGACUCUUCGCAAUGGGUUCUCACCAAGCUUAAGUAAAGAUUGAUCUGUAAAAUCAAUUUAUUUCAACUUUACUUUUGAAAAUAGUCCAAAGUAUUAAUAUAUUAGUUUAUUUUUUUGGUGGUAUGCCAAACAUUAUAAAACUGCUAGUUUUAGAUGUAGACAGUGAGUAAAGAUUGAGCUAAAUCUUUAUAGAUUGUGGCCUUUUGGGGCAUUUGGUAAAAGAUAAUCCUAUUUCUGUAAAACAAAUACUGAAAAGAGAAAAAAAAAAGCACAUAUGUAUGUGUAUGUCCAUCUAAGAUUGUUUAAGCCUGGAAAAACAUGGAAGGAUAUAUAUGAAGUUGUUAUCAUGGGUUUGCCUGACAGUGCUGAUGCGGGUGGAAGAGGAGGGAUGGGAGAAGCUGUGCAAAUGUAUGAGAAAGGGACUAAAAAGGGAUGUCUAUUAUGAUAUUUAUAUAAAUUUAUUUCUAGGUGUGGCUGUAUAUUGAAAAAAUGAGUAAAAUACUUUAAAAAGUGAUCUGGAAAAUGAGAAAAGAAAAAUGAGUGUAAUUCUCAUGUGCGUUUAAAAUUAUAAUGUGUCAAAUGUUUGUCUAAAUUGGAUGAUCACUAAGAAUAAAAUUAAAUUGGAAAUUUUAAUUAAAGGUGCUAAAUUAAAGGUGCCAAUAUGUAGCUGGACAUACUCUUCUAUUUUCAAUUACAUUUUGUUUUACUUUCACCCACUUGCUAUGUAGUUUUUCAUCUCAUGCAUUUUUUUGAUACUUUAUGUCAGUAGUGGCUGAAUUGUAUUUGAAAAAUAUGUAUCAUAUAUAAUUACAUACACACAAUUAAAGCUAAG
rnacentral:lncRNA from 1 species